CUUAAACACAUCUGUAGGCUGUUAUCUUCCUCUCUCAUCAGUGUUCUAUACAUGCUGAGAGAGUUUCUGUCUUCUGCUGACCCACAGCAGAUUUUGAGGGUGUGAUUUAUAAGUUCUACUAAGAUCCUUUUCAUCGUUCAUUUAUGGUAUGGAGUUGGUUGAACAGAAGCCUGGAUUAUAACUCAGGAUUAUAUUUACAAUGCCUGGAGGUCACAUUAUCACUUUGAUGCUUCUAAUUUGGUCAUUUGUUGGUGGAGGGAUUUGUGAGCAUAAUGUGGAGGGUGUGUUACACGGUCGAGUGGAGCUCCACGCAUGCCCUAGACCCCAACAAACUGUGAGAAGAGUGGAAUGGGCUAAAUAUAAAAAUUCAUCAGCACCACGUCUGUUAUAUACAUUUGAUCUGCCAAAUGACACUUCAUGCUUCUUCAACUCUUCCCAAAAUAUUCAGUUUAUUAAAGAGAAUAGGAGUCUUAUUUUUGUUAAUCUGACAAAAGAAGAUGAAGGUGUUUAUCAGAAUAAAUUAUUGCUUAAUAAUAAUAGGCCGGCAGAGUUGUGUAACAUCACUUUAUCUGUACUAUCUCCUCCGACUGCAUUAAGGAUAUCUGUGUCCAGUUCUAACCGCACUCUGACCCUGAGGUGUGAGGUGAGAGGACAGUUUCUGAACCUGCACUGGUUUUGGAACGGCCUCCUGCUGCUGCCAGAUGACCAGAGAAUCAGCAUCAGUGAGAGGAACCUGACUGUGCAUGUGUCUAACCUGAACCGCUCAGACUGGGGGACGUACACCUGUCGGGCUUCAAAUGAAGCUGGGACGUCAGAGGCACAUGUGAACAUCACAGAAAACACUACACUUUGUCAGGACAAUGUAAAAAAAGAAGAAAAAGAAGAAGUAAACGAAGAAAAACAACAACGACAAGAGUUCCUGAUCUUUGCUGGACUUGCAGUUAUUUCCACCUUGCUUGUGUGCAUCAUUUUAAUUUGCAUCUGCAGAAAAUGUAAUUUUCUGUUUUUCAUUAACCACAUUAAAUACAUAAAAUACAUGCUUGCUUUGUCUAAUAACGAUAAUGAUAAAGUCGAUGAUGGUGAUAUUGGUUCUUUAUCAUGUGGCAGAUUAUAUGCAAAACAUUUUUAUCAAUGUGUUAAAGGUACUAUGUGUAAUAAUAGGGAUGUAUUCUUGAUAAUAAUCAGACUCACAUUAGUGAAUCUGUUACUGAUUCUACAGCUUUGGAAAAAAUGAGAGCCAACUUAAGAAUUAUGAGUUUUCUUUGAUUUUACCAAAUUAAAAACAUCUGAAAUAUAAUCAAAAGAAAAAUGGAUGCUCACAAGCCAUCAAACCAAGCUGAACUGCUUGAAUUUUUACACCAGAAGCGGCAUUAAGUUCUCCAAAAGCAGUGUGUAAGACUGGUGGAGGAGAACAUGAUGCCAAGAUGCAUAAAACUGUAAUUAAAAACCACAGUUAUUCCACCAAAUAUUGAUUUCUGAACUCUCAAAACUUUAUGAAUAUGAACUUGUUUUCUUUGCAUUAUUCGAGGUCUGAAAGCUCUGCAUCUUUUUUUUGUUAUUUUAGCCAUUUCUCAUUUUCUGCUAAUAAAUGCUCUAAAUGACAAAAUUUUAUUUAAAAU
ensembl:lncRNA